AAGGUGUCUUGGGACGGCGACGCGAACACUCGAGGAUACUAUUACGACGCCGAGAUCCUCGAACUGACGGGGCUGUGCAUUCUACAAAGGGCAGCGAUCGGACUGUCCUCUCAUCUCGACAACUUUUCUGUCGCUGUACCAUCAUAACGCUACUGUUCGAUGGGUAAUUCGUUUUCAGGACUACCUGCGGCUCGGCUGUUGAUGCGGGAGGUGCUGUAGGGCCCUACUGCCUAACACUUGCUGACGAGGAGAUCCUUGCAAAGAAUGAGAUCGUGGAUCCUAGCAUCGGCCUCCAGAAAAGGAAGGAAUGAUCCAUGUCGGGCAAGGUGUGCACGUCAACCAGGAAUGCGGGCAACAUGCGGAAAGCAGAGUGCGACUCCAUGUUUCGCAAGAACACUGCUGCUUCCAUAGG